GACGAACGCUGGCGGCGUGCUUAACACAUGCAAGUCGAACGGAAAGGCCCUGCUUUUGUGGGGUGCUCGAGUGGCGAACGGGUGAGUAACACGUGAGUAACCUGUCCUUGACUUUGGGAUAACUUCAGGAAACUGGGGCUAAUACCGGAUAGGAUCUCCUGCUGCAUGGUGGGGGUUGGAAAGUUUCGGUGGUUGGGGAUGGACUCGCGGCUUAUCCGCUUGUUGGUGGGGUAGUGGAUUACCAAGGCUUUGACGGGUAGCCGGCCUGAGAGGGUGACCGGCCACAUUGGGACUUAGGUGCGGCACAGACACCUAAGGGAGGGAGCAGUGGGGAAUAUUGCACAAUGGGCGGAAGCCUAAUGCAGCAACGCCGCGUGCGGGAUGACGGCCUUCGGGUUGUAGACCGCUUUCGCCUGUGACGAAGCGUGAGUGACGGUAAUGGGUAAAGAAGCACCGGCUAACUACGUG
rnacentral:rRNA from 1 species